rnacentral:lncRNA from 1 species
CUGAUACGUGCUCUGACACGUGUUUUAGGGCGGGUUGCAGGUUAGGCUUCAAUGUUUGUGCGUGGGCGCCUGUGCUGUGUCGCAUACUGCGUGCGGGCGGUCCCGUCCUCAGCGGGCUGGCCCCGCACGGCGAGGAUCGGGCGACGCACCUGGCGCCAAUCUAGCGUAGAUGGGGGGAUCUGAAUGUGCUGAACGGACACUGACGGACCAUGACGGGGUGUGCGACUCAUCCCAGAUGAGAUGAGCGCGGAUCGAACGGGAUCGGGGCAUGGCUUUUUGCUUCGGUCGGGGGUCAGCAUGAAGCACCCCUUGGCUACAGGUGGGGUGCGGUAUUGUGGAACAAGCUGGCCGCAAGCUGCCACCACACCCGAGGCAACACGAAUCCAGUCAUAACCCUGCAGUCAUAGAUACCUCAUAUGGUCCUUAACAUGAUACUAGGAUGGCAGGAGUGCACGCGAGGUCCCGUGGGGGAAGGGCACGGGCCUUCAGUGGAACGGCAGAACGCGCAUUUCGCCACGGAAGUGCGGUAUUGUGGAACGGGCGGGAACUCCGUCAUGGCGCUCCGCAUCGAGCCCAUACCCGGUGACUGGACUCCUUACACCCAACCUAUGCCUGCACAAGCAAGGUUUUCGUGCUCGCUGCCCUGUAUGAGCAUGUUGCUUGAGCAUUCAGCACCAAGACGCCAACAUGGCAUGGCGCACCGCGCGGGAGCUCGGGAGCCCAACCAUGGCAUACCGCGCUGUAGUCCUUCCACCAUGUGAUGUUCUUGGGCAAGUGCAGAUGUCUGUGGCGCUAUCUCAGGAUUUUGUGACCGGCACCGAGCGGUUCCGGUGACAUGUUUUCGGUGAUUGUCCCCGUUUCAGUGAUCGCAGCAGCAUUUUGGCUGCUUCUUAGGUGAUCUCAUACCUUAAUAUAAGCCUGACAAGGAUUGGCGCACGCAGUAGUGCAAUCAAAGUUGUUAACUCGGCAGCAUUUUAAGCAUGCAACAUGUCGCCGACGCCACGUCGCCGAACCCGAAACUAAGUAGCGGGACUUCUAGGGGUAGCCUUAUGCUUGCCCAAUCCCGGCGGGGGGCUUAAUUGGAGCAGUGCGGAGGGCGGGGGAGCGCUUGUUCCACAAUACCGCUGUUCCACAAUACCGCACCCCACCUGUACAGUUGCAAUUAAAUCAGUUGCACAUCGCUGGCCCUGCGGGUCUGGGCCAGCCUGCUGCUAUGGCACUGGUUUCAUUGGGCAUCGCUUUGGAACAGCAGCAUCCCAUAGGCGGUGCAGGGUGUGCAAGCACGGUGUGCAAGGAAGAGGAAGAGCCGACGUGAGAGGGGCGCGGGAGAGGCGAUCACACAGCCAUGGCAGGGCAGACCACAGGGUGAAGGUGUGUAUUGUAUCGGCCGCGGUCAGCGUUUUCCUGGAAGUAAUAAUAAUUAGUCCACGGCCGCGAGUCGCAUAUCCAAACAGGCCUCGGACUUGCGUCUAAGUUGCUGGCUGAAGAAGGCAUCGCCCGCCGUCUGGCGGAACUGACGCGAGGAGCUGCUGCAGAUGUUCUAAGAGAAGAUGGCUGCCUCCCACAAGCGACAGCGCCGCGCUCUCCGCGACGCGUUUCCUCGGAAGCUGAACCUCGACCUGACGGCAGAAAUUGAGUCCCUGAAAGCAGCUGUGGAGGCUCUCCAGCGCACGUUCGCAGAGAGAGAGGCAGACCGGCGGUCGGUUCUGCUGGGCCAGCUCGCGUACACAGUGGACGCCAUCGCCACCUCCUACGUGUUCGGUGCUGGUAGCAGACCCAUUAACUUGAGCUACAUCCAAGACGCUGCGGAGGACGACGCCGCAGUCGCGGAGCGGUGGCAGCAGGUCGCCACAUUCGCGGAGCAGCAGGGCGUAUCCAUCACGCGGCUCAUCCAGCGCAGCAGCGCGUUGCGGUCACGAUUCCUCAGCGUGGCGCACGGCUCCCCGGACGAGCUGGACAGCACCACGCCGGACCAGCUGCGUGAGUGGGGCACCGCGUCCUAUGCCAGCGCGACGGAGACGCUGCUGCGGUUCCUGGAGCCCCUGACUUUGGACGGCAAGCCGCUGCGGCCGCGGCAGGACGUUGCGACCAUCUUCGCGGCGGUGCUGUGAGGUGCGGCGUGACCGGGUGUGUUACAGCGGGAGCAGUACAGGUGUUGCCACGAAGUGCGCGUUAGGAACAUGCGUGGUGGGUCGAUGUGCCUCCGCCCGAGGCAUGAGGUAUCCUUGCAGCAGCACCACUGGCCUAGCUGUGCCGCCGGACUGCCUCUCGACUGAGCGCGGUGUCCCCCAACUCCCAAAGAACUGGAUUUGUGGCCUCUCACGGUGAUUGCUUUUUGGUGUGCAUCCAACCCGUGCAGACCGCUCCUGGUCGCUGUGGCGUGUCGUCAGGCCCCGACAGCGCAUCUAGCUUACGUGCGCGGUGGAUGUAGACGGUCCAGACCGCUCCUGGCGCCGGUGAUUUUAGACCGUUUGUUCGUGGUGGUGUUGAGGAACACCGGUUUUUGCAGUUGUAGCUGUUGUCGUCGUGGUGAAUCAGGGCUUGUCAGUGGACAGGUAGCAGCUCUUGCCGUCCGUGUGGCCGUAGUAGGUCCCCUUGAGGUCCCCCGCCUUGAACAUGACCGACCCCGGUGUUGUGGGCGUGACCGUCCUCCUUCCCAAGACCUUCGAGCUCUACCCGAACGUCGAGUUCAAGUACAGUACUUGAACUCGACGUUCGGGUAGAGCUCGAAGAACUUGGGAAGGAGGACGGUCACGCCCACAACACCGGGGUCGGUCAUGUUCUCCAUAUUGGACCCGUAUUUGCUGUGGAGAGCCCGGCGUUCCUCCUUGGACGUUGGCAUGUAGUGCUUCUGCAGCCCUGCCUCCUCCAGGCGUCCCGCCCACUUCUUUGACCAGGCGUAGCUGCCCUGAGGACUGAGGGUGUGUAGCCGGAUAGCUGGGUCCUUGCCUUUUGCAAGCUCAAACCACUUGGCGUUGGUCUCGGGCCCACUUGUUUAAUGUUUGGGGUUACCGUAGCUCCGCAUGCGACAUGACCGCCAGGCCUCAAUCUGACGAAUGUUCUUUCCAGUACUUUCUGUGGCGUGUCGUCAGGCCCCGACAGCGCAUCUAGCUCGCUUGCGUGAUGGAUGUAGACGGUUUAGACGACAGCAAUUUGGGCACACGGGCGGGCGCUUGGCCAGGUCAAGCUCGCUGCAUCACACCAAUCCGCCCGUUCAGGCGAAGAAGCUGGAGGCGCCGCCGCCGCCGCGCCCACACCUGGCAGUGGCACUCGGCGCAGGCGGGCAUGUUGGGGUGCUGCCGGUGCGUGCCCUGAGCGCACAGCCUCUCGGGGUCGGGGCCACCUGCGAGGUGGCGUAGGGUGCGAGUGGGUGGCCAAGGAGCGCGCGCCCACGUGGGCAGGCGCAAUGACGCCAUGGGAGCCUGGUCUUGCGGUGAGUAUAUUUUUGUGUUGUGUUGGAGGUUAUGCUAGAGGGCACCAGGACAGGCGUGAAAGAGGACACAAGGGAAAAAGACAACGAGAGUGUUUUGCGUUUGCGUGUGUAAUGGCAGCAGCUACACUGCCGGCAGGUUGCAGGCACGUUCACUAGCCCAAUCACCACCACGACGCAGGCCAUCGCCCAGGCCCGACACCCACGCAUCCCCGCCCCUCACCCAUCCAGCUCUGGAUGUUGGAGCCGGCGGCAGCCACGAUGUUGCUGGCGACCAGGUGAUAAGGUGGUUGGAGCGAGCGCUCAGACACACGGCGGGGCAGGUGGAGGUGUGGCGUGUGCGUGACGGGAGAGGAGCCUGAGAGCAAGGGAGCGGAGGCGGGCACGGCCAGGGGUGAUGCGGAGGAGGAGCACGCGGUAGGGAAGCGCAGAGGCAGCGUUUGCGGGCUGGAAUGCCCGCAGCGGUACAAGACAGGGAAGCGUAUUGUCAGACGGAGCAGAUGGGCCGCAUGGUGAACUGUCAGAUUGCAUUGGUUACAAGAGGGACUUGCUGACGCGAGUCGCGAGCGACAUCUGCUCUGGACCUCAGGGACGUGCCACCUGCAACUGUCAGCUGGAUGGUGGCCGGGUCAGCGCUCUAGACGUUACUGAUACGUGCUCUGACACGUGUUUUAGGGCGGGUUGCAGGCUAGGCUUACAUGUUUGUGCGUGGGCGCCUGUGCUGUGUCGCAUACUGCGUGCGGGCGGUCCCGUCCUCAGCGGGCUGGCCCCGCACGGCGAGGAUCGGGCGACGCACCUGGCGCCAAUCUAGCGUAGAUCUGAGUGUGCUGAACGGACACUGACGGAGUGACGGACCAUGACGGGGUGUGCGACUCAUCCCUGGUGAGAUGAGCACGGAUCAGGACGGGACCGGGGCAUGGCUGUAGGGUCGUGUUGCUUCGGUCAGGGGUCAGCAUGAUGCAUCACUUGCAAUGCAGUUGCACACCUUUGCACACUGCUGGCCUUGCUGCUGGCUCUGGGGUCUGGGCCCGCCUGCCGCCAUGCAUGGGGUUCAUCGGGCAUUGCUUUUGGAACCGCUACAUCCAAUGGGACUGUAAGAGCACACGGACACGUGACGGGGCCAAAGCAGACCCAGGAGCUCGGGGCUUGAGGAUGCGGGAUGGAAUCGUGCAGAGUGGCUGGUUGUGGCGUGCCUUUGAGCCAUCUCUGCGAACAUGCCUGUUCCCCUACAGUACCAAAUCUAUUUUAACAGUGUAUUUGCAAACCCAGCCUCCGCCUGCUACUUUGUGUGCGCACCGAUUCACCAUCGCUUUGUAAGCAAAGAUGCAAGCUUUGGUAACGAAACCGACACCACACGCAUUCCUUCAUCAUGUCAAUGACCAACUAAUACCGUUCUUGCAAGUUCGCGGGCGAUGCGCACUAAGACCUCGACAUCAUCGGAAUGUUGCACUGCGCGCGUUGCCGCUGCCGCCGCUGGAGCUUGCACCAGUGAGUUUCCUUGCCACUGGGUCUACCUCACCGCUUCACUAGGGUCUCGCUCGUUCUGUCGCGAUGACGGGGGCUGCCCCGUGGGACUGCCUCGGGUUUCCGGGCUGAGCACGCGGCGGGUACACGAACUGGGUCAGCUAAGACCUCGGCUGAGAGCACUGAGUCUUGCCAUCCAGGGUAAGACGGAGUUGAAGGCACUGCCUACUGCAGCAGGCGCACGCUCCGUGCCUCGCUCCGAGCCCCCAGCACCCCUCCCCCUUGGCAUCCCUGCC